rnacentral:ncRNA from 1 species
CAAUGUUUGCUGCCGAGUAAACAGAAGGCAUUUAUCUUUGCAUCGUUAGGCCUUUGAAGAUGCAUCGAUAGAUGCAUUUUUUAU